rnacentral:rRNA from 1 species
CCUACGGGAGGCAGCAGUGGGGAAUAUUGGGCAAUGGGGGAAACCCUGACCCAGCAACGCCGCGUGAAGGAAGAAGGUCUUCGGAUCGUAAACUUCUAUCCUCGGUGAAGAGGAGAAGACGGUAGCCGAGAAGGAAGCCCCGGCUAACUACGUGCCAGCAGCCGCGGUAAUACGUAGGGGGCAAGCGUUGUCCGGAAUGAUUGGGCGUAAAGGGCGUGUAGGCGGCUAAGUAAGUCUGGAGUGAAAGUCCUGCUUUUAAGGUGGGAAUUGCUUUGGAUACUGCAUAGCUAGAGUGCAGGAGAGGUAAGUGGAAUUCCCAGUGUAGCGGUGAAAUGCGUAGAGAUUGGGAGGAACACCAGUGGCGAAGGCGACUUACUGGACUGUAACUGACGCUGAGGCGCGAAAGUGUGGGGAGCAAACAGGA